AUUGGUUAAAAAACUUGUGUUUACAUCUUAAUGUUAGCAAAACUGUAUGUAUGUUUUUUUCAAAGUCUGCAAAUAGAGAUCCCGAUCCAGAUGUCACAGUUGCAGGUAAAAGUUUAUCAGUAGUUCAAGAGUAUAAAUAUCUAGGUAUAAUACUUGAUUCACAACUUACAUUUAAAAAAAGUUCAAAUAAACACACAUACAGUUU